GAGUUCAUGCCCUUCGGGGUAGACCUCCCACCCUGUUUAUAUACUAUUGUUGCUUUGGCAGGUUGCCCUCACCAUGGGGCGUCCGGGUUCCGCCCGCGUCUCGCCUGCCAACAGCCCCUUAAUUCUGUGUUCUGUGUCGUCUGAGUACUAUAUAAUAAAGUUAAAACUUUCAACAACGGAUCUCUUGGUUCU
rnacentral:misc_RNA from 1 species